UACGUAGGUGGCAAGCGUUGUCCGGAAUUAUUGGGCGUAAAGCGCGUGUAGGCGGCUUUGCAAGUCGGGUGUGAAAGCCCUCGGCUCAACCGAGGAAGUGCGCCCGAAACUGCAGAGCUUGAGUACCGGAGAGGAUGGCGGAAUUCCCCAAGUAGAGGUGAAAUUCGUAGAUAUGGGGAGGAACACCGGUGGCGAAGGCGGCCAUCUGGACGGAUACUGACGCUGAGACGCGAAAGCGUGGGGAGCAAACAGG
rnacentral:rRNA from 1 species